rnacentral:rRNA from 1 species
UACGUAGGGGGCAAGCGUUGUCCGGAUUUAUUGGGCGUAAAGAGCGCGCAGGCGGCUUGGUAAGUCGGAUGUGAAAUCCCGAGGCUCAACCUCGGGUCUGCAUCCGAUACUGCCCGGCUAGAGGUAGGUAGGGGAGAUCGGAAUUCCUGGUGUAGCGGUGAAAUGCGCAGAUAUCAGGAGGAACACCGGUGGCGAAGGCGGAUCUCUGGGCCUUACCUGACGCUCAGGCGCGAAAGCUAGGGGGAGCGAACUGG